rnacentral:rRNA from 1 species
UACAGAGGUCUCAAGCGUUGUUCGGAUUCAUUGGGCGUAAAGGGUGCGUAGGUGGCGGGGCAAGUCUGGUGUGAAAUCCCGGGGCUCAACCCUGGAAGCUGCACUGGAUACUGCUUUGCUAGAGUACUGGAGAGGGAACUGGAAUUACGGUGUAGCAGUGAAAUGCGUAGAUAUCGUAAGGAAGACCAGUGGCGAAGGCGAGUUCCUGGACAGUUACUGACACUGAGGCACGAAGGCCAGGGGAGCAAACGGG